GGAUAACCAUUGGAAACGAUGGCUAAUACCGCAUAACGUCUACGGACCAAAGAGGGGGACCUUCGGGCCUCUCGCUUCAGGAUAUGCCCAGGUGGGAUUAGCUAGUUGGUGAGGUAAUGGCUCACCAAGGCGACGAUCCCUANCUGGUCUGAGAGGAUGAUCAGCCACACUGGAACUGANACNCGGUCCAGACUCCUACGGGAGGCAGCAGUGGGGAAUAUUGCACAAUGGGCGCAAGCCUGAUGCAGCCAUGCCGCGUGUAUGAAGAAGGCCUUCGGGUUGUA
rnacentral:rRNA from 1 species